CUCUAUUCUCCGCCUGUUAUCAGCAGUGGCUGGUGAGCAAUCAAACAGAGAGAGGAACCGCCUCUUGGCGCUGAGUUCCUAUCCCAGCGAAGGGUCAAAGUCUGCGCAAAAGAGAUCAAGAUCGAGACGAGUUGACGCGAUUCCACUCGAACAGGAGGAUUUGACAAGUUUACAUAUACUUUUUUCACCGACUCGAUGGCUCCUCUGCUUAAAUGCAGCUUUUUUAUUCUUCUGCCGUUCCUCCUAACGCUUGUUCCUGUGAGGGCCAAAGGAAAUGGGCCAGUGUUACGCAGACAGAAGAGAGAAUGGAUUGUAGCUCCGAGACGUCUGGUUGAGAAUGUUGACUACACCAGCUAUCAGUCUAUUGCUAAAAUUCACUCCGAUAAAACCUUUCCAAAGAUAAAAUAUUCUCUAAGUGGGCCUGGUGUUGACCAGCCCCCUGUAGGAGUGUUUGGUAUUGACCCUAACACUGGCUUUGUGAAAAUCUACUCUAUUCUGGAUCGAGAAGAAAUAGCCAUCUAUAAAUUAAAAGGUAUGGCAAAAUACCUCAACGGGUCCGACGCUGAGCGUGAGCUUCUGCUGAAAGUUGUUGUUGAGGAUCAAAAUGACUGCGCACCGGUCGUUGUAGCAAACCAAGUCGGCUCUGUCAAUGAAUCGAGUGCACCAGGUACUGUUGUGAUGAGAGUAAUAGCUACUGAUGCUGAUCAAGAAAACACACCACACAGCGAGAUCUUCUACAGCAUUGUGCAAGAGAGCAACGUAGGUGGAAUGUUCUCCAUCAACUCUCGGACUGGAGAAGUCAUGGUUCAACGGAGCACUUUAGAUAGGGAGACAAAAGAUAUAUAUAAGUUGCUUAUAAAAGCCUCAGAUAUGAAUGGAGCGGUGGGAGGAAACGCAGGAACCAACGAAAUUGAGAUCAAAAUUCUGGACAUAAAUGACAAUGUUCCAACCCUGGAAAAAGAGUCGUAUGAAGGAAGUGUGGAGGAGAACACCAUCAACGUGGAAGUGUUGAGGAUCCAAGCCAUUGACAUGGAUCUGAUUCACACUGAAAACUGGUUGGCUGUCUUUGAAAUCAUUUCAGGGAAUGAGGCAGGCUAUUUCAGUAUCACUACUGAUUCAAAGACCAAUGAGGGAAUUAUCAUGAUUCACAAGCCCUUGGACUAUGAGAAACUACAGUUGCUCAACUUGGAAGUGGCUGUCAAAAACAAAGCAACGUACAAUUUUGGCAUGUCCAUGACAGGAUCCACAUCCUACCAAAAAUCCUACCCCAUAAAAAUCAAUGUGAUUAAUCAGAAGGAAGGCCCCCGUUUCCACCCAAGUGUCAAAGUGGUGACUCUCUCUGAGGACCACACUUCCGUAUCAAUCAACAAAAUCAUCACCACCUACGCUGCAAUUGACAGUGACACACUACAAACAGCCACCAACGUGAGGUACGCCAAAAUCCGUGACGAUGACAACUGGUUGAUAAUUGAUGAACAUACAGCUGAUAUCAAGCUGAACAAACUGCCUGACAGAGAGUCCAAGUUCUUGAUCAAUGGAACAUAUUAUGCCAAAAUUAUAUGCAUCACCAAUGAACAUCCCUCAAAAACUGCCACAGGGACCAUAGCCAUUCAGGUGGAGGACUACAAUGAUCAUUGUCCUGAACUGACCGGUACAACUCAGACCAUGUGCCUUGACGAUAAUGCCAUAUACAUCACUGCCACAGACAAAGAUGAAUUCCCCAAUUCAGCACCAUUUGAUUUCUCUGUGAUUCAGACGGAGAACAAGCAGAAAUGGACAGUGGAGCCAUUUAAUGCAACCACAGCCAUUCUGCGAGACCAAGCCAAGUUGUGGCCUGGCAUUUACAAAGUCACAGUGAAAGUCAAAGACCAGCAGGGAAAAUCAUGUGGUGAAUUUCAGACAAUAGAUUUAACUGUGUGUACUUGCGCUGAAAACACUAAAACCUGUCAGGCACGCAACACAAAGACUGCAGGUUUUGGAGCUUCAGGUAUCCUGCUUCUACUCCUGGGACUGCUGCUUCUGCUGUUGGUGCCCCUUCUGCUGCUGUUCUGCUUGUGUGGAGGAGCAGCCGCUAUAGGAGAUUUCAAGCCCAUUCCAUAUGAUACGAAACAACAGCUGAUCUCAUAUCACACUGAGGGACAGGGAGAAGACAAGGAAGUUCCUCUUCUACUUGCCCCAUUGGAAGUUGAUGGUGGUACAGUUAAGGCCAUAAACGUCAACACCCUUAACGGAAAGGGGUACCUAGGAGGACUGGUUGACGGAGGAGGAGCAGCCUUAGGUGGAGGAGCAACCAUGAACACUUCAAACUUGACGGCUGAGAACAUGCACAUGUACAGCAGAUAUAAUCAAUUCAUGGGGCAAGGUGAGAUGGAUUACACAGGUGCUGGGAUGAUGACAGGACAAGAACAUCUUUACUCCCGAUACAAGGAUGGAGGAGUCUUUGAUGGGAUGGCUCUAUCUGACCACUUCCUGGGAGAGUAUUAUUCAAGUAAAUCCAACCAUGCUGCACAGCAAUCCCAGCAGAAGGAUUCUCUGCUGGUCUAUGACCAUGAGGGUCAAGAGUCCCUUGCAGGUUCUGUAGGUUGCUGCAGUCUUCUUGAGAAUGAUGAUGACCUUGCAUUCCUCAAUGACCUUGGACCUAAAUUCAAAACCCUGGCUGAGAUCUGUCAGGGAUCAACCUUGGUGACCGAAUCUGCUGAUGCAGGGGUCUCUUCACUGAGACCAGUGUCUCCUAUCUGGCCGUCCACUUCCACCCACACACAUGUACAUACUCACAGAGACACAGUCAGUGACAGGGACCACUUUAACAUCAACACCCUCAACACCUCCAAUGUAGCAUCCGGAUCCUCUACUAUCAUCCAGGAAGAGCGGAUUACUGAGAGAGCCCAGAGUUCAGCCAUUCCCAAGGUACAUGUACAGGACAAGAUUAUGAUUCCUACUCAGACAGUGCUCAUACAGCAGCCCACUAUGUACUAUGCUGCAACACCCAUGUAUGUUGUCGAGUCUAAACCCCAAAUGGUAUAUGUGGCAGGGGGCACAAAGCAAGCAGUGGAUCAAGUAGGCCAAGCUGGAUUUAGUCAGGGACUGGUGCAGGUUGGUGGCCUCCAAAGUUCUCAGGGUGUGGUUCUUGUAGAUAGGCAAGUAGGAAUGGGUGGGGUGACAGGGCAGGUGGCACAAGGUCUUUCGCAAGGAACCGCCUCCAGAUCCAGACAGGUGUUGUUGGUGGAGGGUGGGUCUUCAGGUGGAGAUCAGGUUGCACACUUAGCCCAGGGUUUUAUCCAGACAGGACAUGGGUCUACAGAGCACGGUUUAGAGGUCAGAGGCCAAGGUAUGCAGUUGAAAACUCAGAGUUUUUCCACAGGGUCAAAUGAAGACUUUGCCCUGACCGCCACACCCAAGCUGCAAGGAAACCAGAGAGUGGUUGUGCAACAUAAGAAGGUCUCAGUGACUGAGAGAAAUGUUGAAUCUAGUAUGAAAGCAUAAUGUAUCUAUCAAUAGGUUGUGAUAAAUUGUGGUGACACUGAUAAACAGAUUAGCCUAAUUUAGCCUGUUUGACCAAAAGUGCAAUACUGUAUGUCCUUGUCUAUCGACAACAGUACUACUUAUGUUAGUUAAAACAAGGGAGCUAUUGUUUACAUGGCUGUCAGGUCAUGAAAGGCAUUGGGUUUCCAUUCUAAUAGUGAUUAGAAAGCACUUCCUGAUAAAAUGAGGCUCCAUCAACAUUAGCUAAAGGUGCAUAAUUUAGAGUGUUAGUGUAAAGUAUGGUAUUGGGACAAAGCAACAGAUUCAAAGAGGCAUUUAUUUUAUGUACUUAAGGCUUCAGGGCGUGAACAGCCAAACGUAAACAUAAGAGAACUAAACCAGCCUGAAAUACAGUGUAUACAUAGCAACAUGUCAGCCCUUGCACCAUAUCUCCUAAACAAAGAGAAACCAGAAAAGGCAGUAGGAGGAGUAUAAACAAAAAGGAUACCUGCCUCAGGUAACCUACAUCUAAGAAGGCAGCCAUAAGUACGUGUCAGUUAAAUUAUUUAGACUAUGAUGAUCCAGGUCUAUAUCAGGUGAGUGAGUUCCCUUUCUAUUCUAGCUCCUAACCUGCCAGGCUGGAGAAAGAAACUGGACUUAGGCCUCGCCUGCAAAAUAAAAAAUGAACAUCCAAUCAACCACCCCCCUCUAUAGCUGAAAUAAAUCCACACCUUAAUUAGAACGAGAGGAGGGAGAACAUAUAGACACAAAACCGCACUUGUACAAGUAAAAACAUUACAGGCUGUAACACUACAUUUAGUAUUUAAGACGCUGAUAUUGCUUCUAAAGUCUCACAGUGUUAUUAUAAUGGAUUUUAAUAAUAAUGCUUAUCAAAGUAAAGAAUUUGUUUCAAAAGCUAAAUAUCUCUGGAAUCUGGAAAAUUAUCUUGUGAGUAGCUACAGCAGAGGUAGAACAAAGUGUGUGUAGCUACUAUAAUGUUGCAGUUCUGCAUCUAUAGUACAAAUAUUCAAUGCUAUUAUGAGUAUUUUUAAGUGUGGUGUGAUUCUAAAAAUCCUUGGGGUACAUAUUGUAAUAUUUUUGCUUGAGCCUUGGCAUAAGCAGUUCUGCUGACUUUUAAGUAUUUAGUAGUUAUUGUAUAAAUUAGUUAUGCUUAGUGGUGCUAUAACUAAUCAAGAAGUGGUAUAUUUGUAGUCUAGAGCUGAGGAAAGAACACUGUGCAGAACAGCCAAUGCCAAAAUGUUUGAAUGAUUUAGUGCACCAUGAAGGGAUGAGACUAUUUUUAUCAGUAGACGGCCUAGUUAUUACGGGCCGUAAACCGAAAAAGAGGACACUACACAAAUUCUCUAUUUUAUUGUUGCACUCUUUUUAUAUUUCUGCAGAAUAUGUGUGGGUUUCUUAACUGUACUUUUACAAGAAGCAAAGUGUUAACUCCAAGAGAUAAAAGUGCCAAAGCUGUAAAAAAUAGCACUAUGGCUUUUUUUUAUUAUUUUUUAUGUAUAUUGCAACAUGAGCACCAGAUCGACAGUAUGUUUGUUUGUUUUUAUUGUAUCUUUGUGUGUAGGUGUAAAGGUAACAUAAUUUGGAUAUUUGCAUAGGUAGACUAAUCAAGGAUGAGCACUGAAAACAUUUAUUGGAAUGACACUGUUUGAUAUUGAUGUUGUUGAUAUUGAUGCGUGUGUUUUCAUUUUUAAUUUCUAACAUGCUGUAUCCUAUACAAUAGCAUUUAUUCUUUCUGCACAGUACAUUACUAAAGACGUCAUAUCUGACAUAAUAACGAGGAUGCUUUGCUGUUUGUUUGUUUUUCAUUCUUUCAUUCAUGUUUUGUUUUGCAUGAAACUUUUGUUUCUGUCAUAAUAAAAUCAAAUAAAAAGUGCUGUUUUAUUGACCCUA